rnacentral:tRNA from 1 species
GGAGGUGUCUGGGCACCUGGUGGUCCCCCCGGUCUUCAAAACCGGUGAGGCCGAGCAUCUCGGCCUGGCGGGUUCGAUUCCCGUCCACCUCCGCCA